rnacentral:lncRNA from 1 species
GAAGAGGAGGAGGGGGAAAAGGAGGAGUUAGCAACAGUUUAACAUUGGUGGCAAACAUGGACAUGCACAUGUGAAGUCUCAAUCUAUCUCAACACUGAUUGUUGAUCUAUGGCAUCAGAACCGUGGAGGGAAACCUGGCUAAGAACAUAACAAGAGAGGGAAGAAGAGAUGGCUCAGUGGUUAAAGGCACUGGCUGCUCUUGAAGGGGGUCCAGGUUGGAUUCCUAGCAUCCACAUAGCAGCUCACAGCCAUCUGUAACUCCUGUCCCAGAGGAUUCGGUACCUUCUCUGACUUCUACAGACACUGCAUGCACACUCCCCUCUACAAUACACA